rnacentral:rRNA from 1 species
CUACGGGCUGCUCCAGUGGGGAAUCUUAGACAAUGGGCGCAAGCCUGAUCUAGCCAUGCCGCGUGAGUGACGAAGGCCUUAGGGUCGUAAAGCUCUUUCGCUGGGGAAGAUAAUGACGGUACCCAGUAAAGAAACCCCGGCUAACUCCGUGCCAGCAGCCGCGGUAAUACGGAGGGGGUUAGCGUUGUUCGGAAUUACUGGGCGUAAAGCGCGCGUAGGCGGAUCAGAAAGUUGGGGGUGAAAUCCCGGGGCUCAACCCCGGAACUGCCUUCCAAAACCCUGGUCUUGAGUUCGAGAGAGGUGAGUGGAAUUCCGAGUGUAGAGGUGAAAUUCGUAGAUAUUCGGAGGAACACCAGUGGCGAAGGCGGCUCACUGGCUCGAUACUGACGCUGAGGUGCGAAAGCGUGGGGAGCAAACAGGAUUAGAUACCCUAGUAGUC